UAGUCAACAAGAUAUUAGAAUCAUUAUAAAAAUAAAUAACCAAGAAUAAUACUAAUUUCAAAUAAAAUAUACAGAAUGGUAGUAAAACAAAGAACUAUCGUUACUACUGUUCCCCAACAAAGAUGAUCCACCUUCCCACAAGAUGUUACUGAAGAGGAAAUUGUGAGCCACCUGGAGAAUAAAGGAAAACUUGCAAUAAAACAUUGACUAUUUCCAAUCCACAUUCUGCUUAUACUCGGUAGGCAAUUGGAAAUUGGAAAUUGUUUCUAAUUAAUUUUAUGUGAAACAACAAUUAUAAUUGCAAUAACUAAUAAAUAACUAAUACAAAUCAUGAAAUGUAAUAGGAGCAAAAAAAAGCAAGAAAGAAAUAGUUAAAGAGAACUUACUUUUAACAUGUUGCAGGCUUUUGGACUCUACUUUUUCUUCUUCAAAUUCUUUUGGCCAUUAACUUUGUUCGUCACUUUGUUCCGUGGAAGAUUGUUCUUGUGCGAAUCAUGAAAUUCUUCAGCCUUACAUAUGAUAUUAUCUCUCACUUUAUUUGUAUCUCCGUUGACAAGGUGUAGUGCAA
rnacentral:lncRNA from 1 species